rnacentral:rRNA from 1 species
CCUAGGGGAGCAGCAGUGGGGAAUAUUGGACAAUGGGCGAAAGCCUGAUCCAGCCAUGCCGCGUGUGUGAAGAAGGCCGUCGGGUUGUAAAGCACUUUCAGUGGGGAAGAAAGCCUUGGGGCUAAUACCCUCGAGGAAGGACAUCACCCACAGAAGAAGCACCGGCUAACUCCGUGCCAGCAGCCGCGGUAAUACGGAGGGUGCGAGCGUUAAUCGGAAUUACUGGGCGUAAAGCGCGCGUAGGCGGUCUGAUAAGCCGGUUGUGAAAGCCCCGGGCUCAACCUGGGAACGGCAUCCGGAACUGUCAGGCUAGAGUGCAGGUGAGGAAGGUAGAAUUCCCGGUGUAGCGGUGAAAUGCGUAGAGAUCGGGAGGAAUACCAGUGGCGAAGGCGGCCUUCUGGACUGACACUGACGCUGAGGUGCGAAAGCGUGGGUAGCAAACAGGAUUAGAUACCCUAGUAGUC